rnacentral:lncRNA from 1 species
GUUUGAUGUUCCAAGAGAUGUCACAGUAUUCAGUCAGCUAUCUUCAGGUAAUGACAAUGUCCACCGCAGGCCUUUCGGGCUUUUGGCAUUAUCCAAUCUGGUCCUGCUUAACACGGAGAAGUACUAGUGUUAUUAACAGAACAAUAAGUUGAGAAAUGCGUAGCUAGCUAAUGCGUGUGAAUCCUAGUUCUAAGCUGUCUGUCAGUGGACAGUCUGGCCAGGUGAAGUGCAUGCCUGGUUGUACGUACCCUAAUCGUGAAUGGCAUGCAGAACCUAGAAACAGAUUUCCACUGGGCGUCGAGAUAGCAACGACUGUGUAUCCUACGGCCUAAAUUAACAGCCAAUAUACAAAAGGGUCAUUGUAAUUGUUGAACAUAAUGUGCAUGUGUUCAGCAGGAUUCAAAUCAUGUGUUCGUGGUUAGAUAAUCAUACGCCUGUUUACAGAACAUGACAUCUUACAAGUGCAGGAUGAACACAAUCUAAUUCAUCAGUAUACGCACUUGUUUACAAAACAUGACAUCUUUAAAAUUUAUAGAGUAAUUCCACUUGAUCCAGUGCAUACAAUAUAUUGUGAUGCGGUCCACUAAGUUCACACCUCACAGCACAAGAAGCUAGUACAUAGUAGCAGAAUACACACCCCAAAGUACCACUUACUCUCCAAAUCACAAAGCAAUAACAUGCAAAUCUUGAGCAGUUCAACUACACAAGCCGGCAACUCAACGGAUGAAAACAAAAUCACAGAGAUGAAGACAUGAGAGGAUGAUGAGUUUGAGGUUACCUGCCGUCCGGAGGAGAGGAUGCUGGGGAGAGCCAUCGCCGGUCUAGUCCAGGCGGCGGAGGUGGUGUCGAGUCCAGCGGCAGUGACGGCAUUGAGCCCAUGCGGCGGCGGCGGCAGUGGCUGAGAUCUAGGAAAGGGCGGCGCGUCGUUCGCUGCUGCUGGAAGCACCUUCGUUCGUGCGACCCCCUGGUAGGUUUUCUAUAUGGGUCGAGGCUGUUUAUAGGCCCAGCCGUAUCCCUAGC